AAGGAAUGAAACACGAAAAUUCACCGUUCGGUCUGGAAACGCUGAGCGCAGUUGCGUAAUCCUGUGAAAAAUCUCCACGAGCAGCAAACAUUUCGUGUUCUACGUGGGACUGGGAUAGAAAGGGACAAAUAUUUGUACAGGCAAACUCGAAUGGACCAAACAGGCAAUCGUAGAGUGGAAAAUGAUUUGCAAACUCGGACCAGGCGUGUGGGUCAGAAAGCUCGGAUUUUAAAAGGAGUGAAGACGGAGAAACCCGAUCUAUUUGAGGAAAGCUCAAAUACUUCUCGAAAGAAAGAACGAUGCCAAGCCACGCAUUCCGUAACAUGGAAGAAAUAUGUUUUUCUCUGUAGUUUUUGUCAUUGAAAAGGGGUUAGAAUUAGGCGCAACAUCAAAUAAAAGGAUUAGUAUUAGUAUUAUUAUGCUUUGAUUAUCUGACUCAUGGGCCAUGUAGCGAGGGAAGAGUAUAAACCUGUUUCAUUUAUGAUUUCUUUGGAAAUUCAGGGUGAGGAAAUCAGGAGUCCUGU